GGUGCGGCCGAAGACAAGAGGGCCAUCACCGUCGGAAACCUCCGCAGCCAGGGCAUCUCCGGGUGGAUGAACCUGACGCUCAAGCAGCCCGGGUUCCAUGGCUCCACGAUAUCCUACAAGUCCGCCGAGAGGAAGAAGCUGCAGGAGGCCGGGCACGUCAUCGUUGGCAACAUCGGCGACCAGUGGAGCGACCUCCUCGGCGCGCCCGAGGGAGCUCGUACCUUCAAGCUGCCCGACCCACUCUACUACAUCGGCUAG
rnacentral:rRNA from 1 species